CGCAGGGUCCCGACCGAGCUCGGGGCUUUGUGAACUCCGUCAGAUCCGGAAGGAAGCAGCGGUAGCAGGGAACCGGUUGUGGCCGGGGGUGCCCUGCGAUC
rnacentral:SRP_RNA from 1 species